rnacentral:rRNA from 1 species
UACAGAGGGUGCAAGCGUUGCUCGGAAUCAUUGGGCGUAAAGGGCAGGUAGGUGGUCUGAUUUGUCUGGAGGUGAAAGCCUUGGGCUUAACCCAAGAAGUGCCCCGGAAACGGUCAGACUUUGAGUCUUGGAGAGGGUUGCGGAAUUCCCGGUGUAGUGGUGAAAUGCGUAGAUAUCGGGAGGAACACCAGUGGCGAAGGCGGCUUACUGGACCAUAACUGACGCUGAGGCACGAAAGCGUGGGGAGCAAACAGG